CCCUUAGAUGUUCUGGGCCGCACGCGCGCUACACUGAUGCAUUCAACGAGUCUAAAACCUGCUCUGAUAGGUGUGGGUAAUCUUUUGAAUGUGCAUCGUGAUUGGGAUAGAUGAUUGCAAUUUUUCAUCUUCAACGAGGAAUGCCUAGUAAACGCAAGUCAUCAGCUUGCAUUGAUUACGUCCCUGCCCUUUGUACACACCGCCCGUCGCUCCUACCGAUUGAAUGAUCCGAUGAAUAUCAUGGAUUGAGGAUGCAAGUAGGUUCGCCUAUCUUCAUCUUCGAGAAGUGAAGUAAAUCUUAUCAUUUAGAGGAAGGAGAAGUCGUAACA
rnacentral:rRNA from 1 species